UACAGAGGGUGCAAGCGUUGUUCGGAAUACUGGGCGUAAAGCGCGUGUAGGCGGCCAUCUAAGUCGGGCGUGAAAUCCCACGGCUCAACCGUGGAAGUGCACUCGAAACUGGAUGGCUAGAGUCCUGGAGAGGAAGGUGGAAUGCUUGGUGUAGAGGUGAAAUUCGUAGAUAUCAAGCGGAACACCGGUGGCGAAGGCGGCCUUCUGGACAGUGACUGACGCUGAGACGCGAAAGCGUGGGGAGCAAACAGG
rnacentral:rRNA from 1 species